rnacentral:rRNA from 1 species
GAUGAACGCUGGCGGCGUGCCUAAUACAUGCAAGUCGAGCGAACAGAUAAGGAGCUUGCUCCUUUGACGUUAGCGGCGGACGGGUGAGUAACACGUGGGUAACCUACCUAUAAGACUGGGAUAACUUCGGGAAACCGGAGCUAAUACCGGAUAAUAUUUCGAACCGCAUGGUUCGAUAGUGAAAGAUGGUUUUGCUAUCACUUAUAGAUGGACCCGCGCCGUAUUAGCUAGUUGGUAAGGUAACGGCUUACCAAGGCGACGAUACGUAGCCGACCUGAGAGGGUGAUCGGCCACACUGGAACUGAGACACGGUCCAGACUCCUACGGGAGGCAGCAGUAGGGAAUCUUCCGCAAUGGGCGAAAGCCUGACGGAGCAACGCCGCGUGAGUGAUGAAGGUCUUCGGAUCGUAAAACUCUGUUAUUAGGGAAGAACAUACGUGUAAGUAACUGUGCACGUCUUGACGGUACCUAACCAGAAAGCCACGGCUAACUACGUG